UAGGGAAUCUUCCACAAUGGACGCAAGUCUGACGGAGCAACGCCGCGUGAGUGAAGAAGGGUUUCGGCUCGUAAAGCUCUGUUGUUAAAGAAGAACGUGGGUAAGAGUAACUGUUUACCCAGUGACGGUAUUUAACCAGAAAGCCACGGCUAACUACGUGCCA
rnacentral:rRNA from 1 species